UGGAACUUUUGUGAACAGGCAUCACAAUCUAGCAUCAGCCGUCUCCUGAGCUCACUUGGCUGGAGAUAGUCAACAGCAAACACACUGAGUUGCUUCUCUACUUCCAAGGUCACAGCCUCAGGACCCCAGGCAGAGAAAGUAUCUGUGAAAGAUUGAGAAGAUGGCUGACUCCAUCCAGACACCGCAAACCACAAUGCGGCAGCCACGCGACUAUCACAGACACCCCAGAGAAGGUCUCCCCUGAAGUGGAAACUACUGCCUUUCUCUUGCUUUUACAUCUCCAAUUGCUACAAAAAUAAUCUGCCUAAAGAUGCAUCAAACAGCUCUGAAUUCAAGGUUUGGUAAAUCUUCAAAGCUAUCAUAUUUUCAAAUGCUCACCUGGCUUAAGCAUCUGCUUAUCUUGAAUUUCUCCUUAUCUGGCUCAGCAGCCCCUGAAUAUCCUGCCAAGGAGAUGAAAAAAUGUUUCAAAAAUGUGGAAAUGCUGAGAGUGGGAAAUCUUCUUCAUAUCUAAGUAUGUAAGUAUGUAAUGAGUUUGCAGAGCUAUCUCACAAGUAUUGGAAGGCUUUGUACU
rnacentral:lncRNA from 1 species